UGCGGUAGUAUUACACCCAUCAGGGUUAGCGCGCUUCGUUCGGGACGAAGAGGCCGGUGGUUCAAAUCCACUCACCCCGACCA
rnacentral:tRNA from 1 species